rnacentral:tRNA from 1 species
AGUUAAUGAACUUGUUAUAAGUAUAUGUUUUGAAAGCAUAAUAAAGAAAUUAAACUUUCUAUUAACUU